UCUGUUUCUGUAUCUCUGAAGAGGAGUCUGAACACUGAUCAGGACAGGAGUAUUAGACGUGUCUGGCUCAGGAUGCAGUUACAAACAAAGCUGAUUCAACAAGGCAUGGUUUUAUCUACUACAAAGGAUAUCAUUUGGGAAGGAAUUUCUGGGAACUGCUCCCAAGAGAGCCAUUGGACCAUGUGGUAAACAACUCCUAGCUGAUAGAUUAUUGGGAAUAUUAACACCGUUCACAACGCUAUGGGGAGAAGACAACUGGAAGCUCCGUGUGGACAAACCUCCUAGACUCUGCCCCACGUAUCUCUUCCCUUGGCUGAUUUGAAUCUGUAUCCUUUCACUGUGAUAAACCAUAACCAUGAUUAUUACAGCUGUCAGCAAUUUCUUCUAUUGAAUUGUCAAAACUGAGGGUGGUCUUGGGAACCCCUGAACUCUAUUGUUGGUGUCAGGAGUGAGGGAAGUCUUGUGGACUAUACUCCCUGACCUCACAGGUGCAUUUUCCGACUUUAUUUGGACCAUUCUUUCCUCUCCCCAACAAUAUCAUCCCCUUCUUCAAAUAUGUUUCUGCUACAAACAUUAUCCUUUAAAUGGUUCCUUCGCUGCC